rnacentral:tRNA from 1 species
CAAAAUGUAGCUUAAUUAAAGCAUUUCGCUUACACCGAAGUAAUCUCUGUGGGACUCAGAUCAUUUUGA